UUGCACUGAUUUCAACAAUGAAGCGAGUGGCGAACUGGUGAGUAACACGUGGGAAAUCUGCCCAGAAGCAGGGGAUAACACUUGGAAACAGGUGCUAAUACCGUAUAACAACAAAAUCCGCAUGGAUUUUGUUUGAAAGGUGGCUUCGGCUAUCACUUCUGGAUGAUCCCGCGGCGUAUUAGUUAGGUUGGUGAGGUAAACGGCCCACCAAGACGAUGAUACGUACGCCCCGACCCUGAGGAAGGGUAAGUCGGCCACAGUUGGGACUGAGACACCGGACCCAAACCUCCG
rnacentral:rRNA from 1 species